UGUUAACCGUACAGCUAUAGGGGCAAACCAGUUAUGCAAUCAUACAUCUCUCAUUUUGAAAAAGUUAAUAAAGAGCACUGUACCCUGCUGCUAUCACUGCACCAAGUAUCAUGAGUGUCCAUGGACAAGUCAGGAAAAUUAACCAGUCUGAAUACUUUGGCAGCAUGUAAAACACAGAUUCCUGAGAUUAUCUGAAAGGAAUAAAACAAUU